rnacentral:lncRNA from 1 species
CAGGAAAACACUGGGUGCAGAAGGUGCAGGCCUUCGCUGUGUCUUGCCCUGGAGACCGCAGCAUCAUAUUGACAUUGAAAUCUGAAGUUGGCUAGUGCCUUUUCUUAGGGGCCUGGCAGCGCCACUGGGACAAGGGUUCCUUACCCUUCCUGGGCCUCGGUUUCCUCAUCUGUGAAAGGAUAGUGUGAGGGCCUUCAGAGGAACAUGGCACAUUACAGAGAAAUGAGGGGGCAGGGGGCAGGGGGCAGCACGGAUCCUGAACAGACAGAGCCUGGGCCAAGUCGAGGGAAGAUCAGCUGAUGUGAGCCAGGCCUCCACACACAUCACUUCCAGGAUCUCCUGUGAGGCCCGAAGUACUGCCAAGGUGAUGACGGAUGUGCCUCCUCCUGGGUCAGCUUCAGGUGAAGUCAUCCGUUCCCUCUGCACUCCAUCAGGACCUGUU